UCCGGUUUAACACCGGCAGUCCCCUUAGAGUGCCCAACUGAAUGAUGGCAACUAAGGGCGAGGGUUGCGCUCGUUGCGGGACUUAACCCAACAUCUCACGACACGAGCUGACGACAGCCAUGCAGCACCUGUGUUCCCGCCAGCCGAACUGAAGGGUUCCAUCUCUGGUACCCAUACGGGACAUGUCAAAGGCUGGUAAGGUUCUGCGCGUUGCUUCGAAUUAAGCCACAUGCUCCACCGCUUGUGCGGGCCCCCGCCAAUUCCUUUGAGUUUUAGCCUUGCGGCCGUACUCCCCAGGCAGCGCACUUACUGCGUUAGCUGCGGCACCGGAGGGGUCGAUACCCCCGACACCUAGUGAGCACCGUUUACGGCGUGGACUAC
rnacentral:misc_RNA from 1 species